GCACAUAUCACACUGUUAAAAUUGCUUGUUUACUUGUCUGUCACCCUUACUGGGCUAUGACCUGCAAAAAAGGGAGAACCCUCCUUACUUCUCCUUAUAUCUUUUUUUUUUUUCCUUAUAUCUGUAAUGCCUAGAGUGGAGCAGAUAUGUGAUAAGUAAUCGUUGAAUGAAUGAAGUGAAAUGAUGUGUUCACGUGUCUGCUUCCCCUAUUCGAUUUGACUCAAGAACCCCGGUAAGCUCUCCAGUCCUGAUGGCAAGAUGGCUUCCAGGCUUACAUUCCAUUGGCUUAGUACUACCUGGAGCUCCACAGUGAUUCUGCUGCACAGUCAAGG